rnacentral:rRNA from 1 species
UACGAAGGGGGCUAGCGUUGCUCGGAAUCACUGGGCGUAAAGCGCACGUAGGCGGAUUCCUAAGUCGGGGGUGAAAUCCUGGAGCUCAACUCCAGAACUGCCUUCGAUACUGGGAAUCUUGAGUCCGGAAGAGGUGAGUGGAACUGCGAGUGUAGAGGUGAAAUUCGUAGAUAUUCGCAAGAACACCAGUGGCGAAGGCGGCUCACUGGUCCGGUACUGACGCUGAGGUGCGAAAGCGUGGGGAGCAAACGGG